rnacentral:rRNA from 1 species
CAUGCAGGCGGUUGCAUAAGUCAGGUGUGAAAUCCCCGCGCUUAACGUGGGCAUUGCAUUUGAAACUAUGUAGCUAGAGUUCUGUAGAGGGGGGUAGAAUUCCAGGUGUAGCGGUGAAAUGCGUAGAGAUCUGGAGGAAUACCGAUUGCGAAGGCAGCCCCCUGGCCUACUACUGACGCUCAUGCACGAAAGCGUGGGGAGCAAACAGGAUUAGAUACCCCCGUA